rnacentral:rRNA from 1 species
UACGGGGGGAGCAAGCGUUGGUUCGGAUUUACUGGGCGUAAAGGGCGCAGUAGGCGGCGUAACAAGUCACUUGUGAAAUCUCCGGGGCUUAACUACGGAGCCGGUCAAGUGAUAACUGUUGUGCUAGAGUGCGGAAGGGGCUACUGGAAUUCUCGGUGUAGCGGUGAAAUGCGUAGAUAGUCGAAGAGGAACACCUGCGGCGAAGGCGGGUAGCUGGGCCGACACUGACGCUGAAGCGCGGAAAGCUAGGGGAGCGAACGGG